GGAAUAGAAGAUUUAUAUGCAUUGAACGUUGUCUGAACAGCCAUUGAGUAAAAUUCACCAAGUGGCACCACGGUGUAAAACCUUGGGAUACAUCAUUACUAGAGGAAGUGCAAAUUUAAAAAAGAAGUGGUUGGAAGAUACAUUAAAAAUAAAAAAGGCAGGAACUCAAUUGCAUUGACAGAAGAAAGGUCGCAGUGGCCUGGCUCCUCUCUUUUCAAAGGAUCUUCCUGCUCCUCACAUCUGAGGGGCUCUUCUGGGACGAAAGCCCCAAGACCAGCAAUGAUCCAUGGACUCCACAUAGAUAAGUGUCCCUGGGACUGUCCUGGGAACCAAGAGUCAAGCUGUGAGGCAAAGCUCUUCCUCUGCUUUCUCUUCAGCCAAGUGAAUGGGAACACUGAUGUAUUCAGCUCUUUUCUUGUCCCCAGCUUCCUCUGACUCAUCAACGGAGAUGCAAACAAAACCACCUCCACAUUCCAAAGGAGCUGUGCCUGGGAGGUAACAGGUAAUAUCUAAGGUACUGGAGUGACUCGGGACCAUAAGCCAGCCCUUUCAAAAGCCAGGCUUUCAGGCUUCUGAAGCUCAGGCAAAGCCACAGCCUAGCCUGUAGUCCUAUGGCCUAGCUUAACCUCCCUCAUUAUGGUUACAGUACAGAUAGUUGCCUGGGAUUAGUUACUGAGUCAAUUAAUGAGAUAAAGUAAAAGUGUGAGUGAGAGUAUAUUGGAUAAUUCAGAGGUUGAAAGGCUAUAUUGAAACACAUCUGGUGAUAAUUAACUGUACAAUUUUAUCUGGCCAAACAUAAUUACUUGCAACUAAAUGUAUGUCAUUGCAGCUGAUUGACACACACACUGUAUAGCCAUGGCAAGCAGAGGACAAGGCUUAGGUCAAUUGCAGGGAAAAGUUAAAAAGCAUCCUUACAGGGAACGGAGCGGGACAAAAAAAAAAGUUAUUGGCAAUUAACUUCAAACAGGGUUUAAGACCCAUUUUUUAAUAAAAAAAGUUUUUUCCCAACCUAGAGCAAGAUUUUCUUUUAUUUUCUUCUGGACUGUCUGUUCUGUCAGGUUAAAUGCAGGUGUACCACAAAGUUAUAGUGAUUACAGUUUAGUCCUUUAUUGUGACUAAUGCUAUGGAAGGAGUUACUGAAAAGAGGCAGGAAAACGGUGGGUUUAGUGUGGGCAUGACAGGAAUCAGUAGAAGUGUCUGAUGGAAUCCAUAGGAGCUGGUGAUUUGCCAGUGUUAAACAAAUGCUGAAGCUGGUUAGUUUUUGUCUAGAACUGCUGCCCAUGUGUCCUGCUUCACAUAUUGCUAUCUUCUCCAAACAACAACAAAAAUCUCCUUGAAAUGUUAUUGGAGUUGACCCUGAGAUUAACUCGGUUCGAGCCUGGUGCUAAUAAUGCCGAGGUUGUAGAUUCAAUCCCUGUAUGGGCCACUCACUUUAGAGCUGGACUUGAAGGUCCUUAUGGGUGCCUUGCAACUCAGAAUAUUCUGUGAUUCUGUGAAUAGUGUUUGUAAUCACUACUACUUUCAUCGUCUCACCUCUCCUUGUACUGCUGUACUGACCUAUUACUCCAGAAGGGUUGCAGCUGCACAGCCCUGUGUUUGUGGGUGUCUGGCACAAAUAAACUUGAAGACUUGCUCCAGAAUUCAUCAUUGAAGAAAGGAAAUUCUUAACUGAAAAUUGCUUUUCACUUCAUUUUUCCUUGCCAGGAAAGGCUGACUUCCCACAGGCGCCGUAAUUCAGCGCGGGCUCUACAAGGAUGCCAGUUUUACUGAAAAUUCAAUCUCUUUACUACAAUAGAAGGCCAGCUGAGCUGCCAUCCACAUCAGCACUCAACUAACCCAGUGCCAAUAGUGUGUGAUUCAUUGAUUAUUGUCAAAUGAACUUUCUCUUCUAACUUCAGAAAAGAAUUAGACCGAGAUGAAACUCACUGUAAGGGCAGCUGAGCAAACUUAGCUGUAAUGAUGAAAAGGAAUGAUUACAACUCUCAGUUGCACCAAGAAGCACUUGGGCCUAUGCUGCUUUUACUUAAAUAUUAUUUAGACUUCUGCAAUUUUGUUUACAGCAUAUCUCAACAGAAGGUGCCAUAUGGCAGUAGAGGAGUGGGUGCUAAUAAGAGCACAUGUGAGACAACUGUGCCUCUGUGGACCCCCUUCUCAGCCAUCCCAGUAGCACUCCAAGUUGAGACUUUAGCCUGGAGGCAACUGAAGUUUGCUAAAGACUUUUCCUGGCUUCAGCUCAGGUGUUUGGGUGGCCAUCUGACACAUUAAUAAAUUAAUGAACUUUA